rnacentral:rRNA from 1 species
GACGGGGGGGGCAAGUGUUCUUCGGAAUGACUGGGCGUAAAGGGCGCGUAGGCGGCGCAGUUAGUCAGGCGUGAAAUUCCUGGGCUCAACCUGGGGACUGCGCUUGAUACGGCUGUGCUUGAGGAUGGAAGAGGCUCGCGGAAUUCCCAGUGUAGAGGUGAAAUUCGUAGAUAUUGGGAAGAACACCGGUGGCGAAGGCGGCGAGCUGGUCCAUUACUGACGCUGAGGCGCGACAGCGUGGGGAGCAAACAGG